ensembl:lncRNA
GUCACUAUUAGCCUGUGUAAAAAGUUGCUUUCCCUCCUGCUUAUGAGCUCCCCUUCAAGUUCUGGAGGGCUGUAAUGAGGUCUCCCCAGAGCAUUCUCUUAUCUAAGCUAAACAAGUCCUACUCCCUUAACCUUUCUUCACAGGGGAGGUACUCCAGCGGUCUGAGCAUCUUCGUGGCCUCCUCUGGACCCACUCCAACAGCUCCUUGUCCUUCCUGUGCUGGGGACCCCAGGCCUGGACGCAGUACUCCAGAUGGGGCCUCACAAGGACAGAGCAGAGGGGGACAGUCCCCUCCGUUGCCCUGCUGCCACCCCUCUGUUGAUGCAGCCCAGGAUGCAGUUGUCUUGAACACUUCAAACGCCUUGCCACUAUUUGUGUCUCUGCAGACCUCUGUCACCUCCCCCUGCUGUCGCUUUUCUGAGCUGUGGCAUCCACCUACGUGGAGACAGAGGCUGUGCAAUGUUACUGUCUCAUCGAGAAGAUGAACUUGAUCAUGAAAAGCCAUGCUUCCAUUUCUCAACUCUUCCUCUCCCUGGAUGGAGACCUCUGUCCCCUUUGCCUAUGUUGUAAUAGGAAGAUCUUGUUGGUAGCUCAGGCUCCAGUUUUGUAGGCUCAUGCAAGAGGAUGGCACUACCACCAAGAAAACUUCCGUUCCUAGAACCAGGAGCGCUGGUCCAGACCCAUGAGAUUUCAUCUUCUAAGCCCCUCUGGCUAAUUGCAAGGUGCUAUAGGCAUAGGAUUGCACCUCGGGAAAUGAAGAAUCUCAGACCUUCAGAAUCCACUCUUAGGUGGAUCUCAUGUUGCUCAGGAAAAAAUGACAUGAGAUUUACACAUUCUGUUACCACUUCCCAGGGUUGCAGCAUCACGCAGCAAAACAGCACAGAGAAAAGUGCCAUGUCCCAUGCUUGCUAGCUGUUUCUUGUGUUGGCUGCUCAGCCUAACAACCGUGCAGAGCUGUCCUUUGCACUCCUACCGUACAGCUGUUAGUAUAGCAUUUUCUAAUUGAUUUUACUCAAUUAACACUUGCUAAUUAAUUUCUAUUAAUUACCUCUCAUUUAGAGACCUGCACAGGCACAGCUAUAAAUCUCCGCACAGCACACUUUCAUGAAUGGCAGUCUAUGUACAAUUAGCAGCAGUUUUUGCCACUCAGAAUUGCCUCUGGCAGGAGAAGGUGUUGAUGAACCCACUGUGCUGGACUCAUGUAGCAUGUGAAGGUGUGUGUUGCAGCUCAGGGGAGUGGGGGCUGUUAGCGUGGGCUGCUGGGAGCCACGUGCUGUCAGUGUGACUGUCCAACAGCGUGCUUGUAACUCCCAUGUCAAUCUGCAUUGCUGUACCUGUGGAUAACCUUGGCCUAGAUGCAGACUUUAUCAUCAUUUCUGAGAAAAUUAUGUUGUUAAUACAUCAUCUGUAAUCAAUAGGCCAUGGCCUUCAUUCAGGAAGACACUUAGGAGCAUGGCUAAUAUCCAUUAUGCAGUCUGGUACCUUUAUGGUGGUUAUUUUUUUUAAGAGCCUGCUAUUCCAUUUAAAAUUGGAUUUGUACUAAACUGAGGCUUUAUGCCUACAGAGGACAUCAGCCAAGACCUGACCAUGAGGUGCCAUGUGCUUACAGUGUAAGGAUGACUUUGAAGCUGGUAAACGCUUACAAGACCUGCUCCAAAAGUAUUUCCUCCUGUCCUAUGAUGUUGGUCUACAACAUCAAAACAGAUGUUGGUGGUAUGGCAGUAGAGACUGAACCUCCCUGCCAAUAUCCCAUUACAUUUUGUCACCAUGUGUUGGAUUGCAGCAGAUGGUAAAUCUGACAUGGAAGUGCACAUGAAGAUGAAGGCUGGAAUUGAAUUUCCUCCUUGCAGAAAAAAAAAAAAAAAAGAAGGCACUUACUGACAUUCAUUGACAUUUGCUGAAUGUUUUUGAAGACCAAACAGUGGACAUGAGCACCGUGAGGUGUUGAGUGGUGCAUUUCAACAGUGGUAAUGGUGACGUGAAAGACAAGCCAUGUUCUGGAUGUCUGUGCACUGCUGUCACCACAAAAUGAAGAGUGUUUUGAUCUGCUCAUCCAAGCAAUGUGGCAGAUUAUGACCAGGGAACUCUAAGGAAAGAAAUGCUGACUUCAGUGUGUUGGAAAUGAUGGUGGCAAUGUUGCAGUAUUGCAAAGUUUGCACCAGAUGGAUCCCACAGAUGUUCACACUGGAACAGAAAGAACACCACAUGCACAUUUGUCAGACCUAUUGAACCAAUGCAAGGCUGAAAGUGACAGUUUGCUGGAUCACAUCUUUACCAGUGGCAAGACACAGUAUCACCAUUAUGGGCUGGAGUCAGAACAGCAGUUCAUGGAGUGGCAUAUGUGAAUUCCUCCUUGAAGACAAAGUUAAAGAUGCAGCUCUCAGUGAGUAAAGAGGUGAUCUUUCUGAAUUUUCUGGAACCUGAACAAAUCAUCAGUCCUAACUGCUACAUUGCAAUGCUGACUAAGCUGAAGGUUUGAACAUCCAGAGUCAGGACAGAGAAGAUGACAAUAUUUCUUUUGCAACAUGAUAACACCAGGCCCCAUAGUAGUUUGAAGACCAUGGAGCACAUUACCAAUCCUAUUACACUCACUGUAUAGUCCAGAUUUGGCAAUUUCUGACUAUCGUUUGUUUGGGCCAAUGAAAGAUAGACUGCAUGGGCAUCGUUUUCCUAAUAACAAUGCCAUCAUACCAGCUGUGAAGCCACGGGUCACAUCCUCUGGUAUGCAUGAGCAUGGCACAUAGACUCUUGUCAUUGCUGGUGAAAAUACACAGCUAAUGGUGAUGACUUUGUUGAAAAAUAGUGUUUUGUAGCUGAAAAUUUGCUCUACUAAAUAGUGUUAUUGUUCUCUUUGCAUCUGUUGUCAUUUCCAUGGAAAUAGAUAGAAGGCAUUACAUUCAGAUCAACCUACAUAACAUGGAAAAAGAAAUACUAAUGCAUAGUGCAAGUCAACAGACGGGAGAGAUCACCAUCAGUGCACAUCGUGAAUGAAUCCUUACUAGGCCCUAUUUGAUGUUUUUUCUUGAAAGACAUUUUUGUUGUUAAUAAUCUUUAAUUUUAUUUCAGCAUGAUUCUUUCUAUUUUAAGGAUCUGUUAAGAAUUGUUAGUAAGUAAUUGUUCAUUAGGAUUAUAUCUGAGUUUUGUUUAUUUUUAAUUCUGUUCAGGUUGGGUAGUUUUAAAUCAGAUUAAUACUUAUCUUCUUACUUCACUAAUUGUUGCAUAUUCUGUUCAGUUACAUAUCUUAAAAACAUUUGUUUGUGGGGUGGCCCAGGCCAAGCCUCACUGAGCUGAGCCUGACUUCCACAUCAGACUGGUAGCCAUGCUGCACUCCCUUUCAAAAUGGCAGGGAGCUGAUGUUAAGGAAUGGACCUCAGGGCACGGGCUGGAUGAAGCUGUAAGAAGCUCCUGUACUCCUACAGCACUGCAGCAUCAGGCUGCUUUUUAAUUUAGUCAGGCAUCCCACUUGGAGGAUGAAAAUGCUGAAGGAAAGGGAACCUCCAUGGGCUGUGGGUGAUGAGGCCACCGGAAUGGAGUUUGGACAAUACAAGAGGGAAUAAAUGUGAAAGGCUCAGAGGCUCUUGCUGCAGCUGGAAGUGGCUUGCACUGACCCUGAUGAGAGCACUGUGGUGCUGUGUGCUGGGCAGCAGUCACCAUAUUUCAGCUGCCACCAGCUGUUGGGCAUACAUAAUGUGGAAGACAAAGCUAGAAAAGAAUCACAGUGCCACGAGGGUUUUCCAGCCCCCUAAAUGGCUGCUCCUGCAAAGUGAGGAGACACCAGCCAAAAUCAGGCAGGAGGGACUAAUUCUGUAGAAGAGGAAUGGCUUUGUCUUUAAUUAUGACAGCCUUCAGAGCUCUCUCAGUGCUGGAAUUUGUCUUAAAAAUGGGGAAAAAGAGAAUCUGCCUGUAUUAAUAUUUUCCCAAGCUUAUUUAAGGACACCUAGAAUUGACAAUAGAUCUGAUUGCUUUUAUUUGGUCAUGAAGCUAGGAAAGCCUGACA